CGGUGUUUAACUGGCGUGAUGUGGGACGUCCUACCGGUGGGCUUAGCCUCGCGAGGGGCGGCCCAACUAAUAUCCCGUCGCGGUGCUCUUUACUGAGUGUCGAGUCGGGCCGGUACGUUUACUUUGAACAAAUUAGAGUGCUUAAAGCAGGCUAUCCUCGCCUGAAUACUGCGUGCAUGGAAUAAUGGAAUAGGACCUCGGUUCUAUUUUGUUGGUUUUCGGAACCCCGAGGUAAUGAUUAAUAGGGACAGAUGGGGGCAUUCGUAUUGCGACGUUAGAGGUGAAAUUCUUGGAUCGUCGCAAGACGGACAGAAGCGAAAGCAUUUGCCAAAAAUGUUUUCAUUAAUCAAGAACGAAAGUUAGAGGUUCGAAGGCGAUCAGAUACCGCCCUAGUUCUAACCAUAAACGAUGCCAGCUAGCGAUCCGCCGAAGUUCCUCCGAUGACUCGGCGGGCAGCUUCCGGGAAACCAAAGCUUUUGGGUUCCGGGGGAAGUAUGGUUGCAAAGCUGAAACUUAAAGGAAUUGACGGAAGGGCACCACCAGGAGUGGAGCCUGCGGCUUAAUUUGACUCAACACGGGAAACCUCACCAGGCCCAGACACCGGAAGGAUUGACAGAUUGAUAGCUCUUUCUUGAUUCGGUGGGUGGUGGUGCAUGGCCGUUCUUAGUUGGUGGAGCGACUUGUCUGGUUAAUUCCGAUAACGAACGAGACUCUAGCCUGCUAAAUAGGCGUACCUUAUGGUAUCGCGAAGGCCCCCGGCUUCGGCCGGUGGGUUUUUACUACCAACGUACAAACAAAUCUUCUUAGAGGGACAGGCGG
rnacentral:rRNA from 1 species